rnacentral:rRNA from 1 species
CUCUUCGGAGUUAGUGGCGGACGGGUGAGUAACACGUGGGAACGUGCCUUUAGGUUCGGAAUAACUCAGGGAAACUUGUGCUAAUACCGAAUGUGCCCUUCGGGGGAAAGAUUUAUCGCCUUUAGAGCGGCCCGCGUCUGAUUAGCUUGUUGGUGGGGUAAUGGCCCACCAAGGCGACGAUCAGUAGCUGGUCUGAGAGGAUGACCAGCCACAUUGGGACUGAGACACGGCCCAAACUCCUACGGGAGGCAGCAGUGGGGAAUCUUGCGCAAUGGGCGAAAGCCUGACGCAGCCAUGCCGCGUGGAUGAUGAAGGUCUUAGGAUUGUAAAAUCCUUUCACCGGUGAAGAUAAUGACUGUAGCCGGAGAAGAAGCCCCGGCUAACUUCGUGCCAGCAGCCGCGGUAAUACGAAGGGGGCUAGCGUUGCUCGGAAUUACUGGGCGUAAAGGGAGCGUAGGCGGACAUUUAAGUCAGGGGUGAAAUCCCGAGGCUCAACCUCGGAACUGCCUUUGAUACUGGGUGUCUUGAGUGUGAGAGAGGUGAGUGGAACUCCGAGUGUAGAGGUGAAAUUCGUAGAUAUUCGGAAGAACACCAGUGGCGAAGGCGACUCACUGGCUCAUUACUGACGCUGAGGCUCGAAAGCGUGGGGAGCAAACAGGAUUAGAUACCCUGGUAGUCCACGCCGUAAACGAUGAUUGCUAGUUGUCGGGGAGCUUGCUCUUCGGUGACGCAGCUAACGCAUUAAGCAAUCCGCCUG